rnacentral:ncRNA from 2 species
UGCUUAUCAAGAAAGACUGAGGGAUUGGCCCUAUGAUGUCUUAGCAACCUCUAUAAUUUAUUGUAAAAGGUGCUAAUUCCAAUUCGCUGCAAAGCGAAAAAGAUAAGAU